rnacentral:tRNA from 1 species
GUCAGGAUAGCUCAGUUGGUAGAGCAGANG